AUUGAACGCUGGCGGAAUGCUUUACACAUGCAAGUCGAACGGCAGCACGGACUUCGGUCUGGUGGCGAGUGGCGAACGGGUGAGUAAUGUAUCGGAACGUGCCCAGUCGUGGGGGAUAACGAAGUGAAAAUUACGCUAAUACCGCAUACGACCUAUGGAUGAAAGCGGGGGAUCGCAAGACCUCGCGCGAUCGGAGCGGCGGAUAUCAGAUUAGGUAGUUGGUGGGGUAAAGGCCCACCAAGCCAACGAUCUGUAGCUGGUCUGAGAGGACGACCAGCCACACUGGAACUGAGACACGGUCCAGACUCCUACGGGAGGCAGCAGUGGGGAAUUUUGGACAAUGGGCGAAAGCCUGAUCCAGCCAUUCCGCGUGCAGGAUGAAGGCCCUCGGGUUGUAAACUGCUUUUGUACAGAACGAAAAGGUUUCUACUAAUACUAGGAGCUCAUGACGGUACUGUAAGAAGAAGCACCGGCUAACUACGUGCCAGCCGCCGCAGUAA
rnacentral:rRNA from 1 species